rnacentral:rRNA from 1 species
AUCAACUUUCGAUGGUAGGAUAGAGGCCUACCAUGGUGGUAACGGGUAACGGGGUGUUAGGGCACGACACCGGAGAGGGAGCCUGAGAAACGGCUACCACAUCCAAGGAUGGCAGCAGGCGCGCAAAUUACCCAAUCCCGACACGGGGAGGUAGUGACAAUAAAUAACAAUACGGGGUUCUAUAGGAUUUCGUAAUUGGAAUGAGUACAAUUUAAAUCUCUUAACGAUCAACAAUUGGAGGGCAAGUCUGGUGCCAGCAGCCGCGGUAAUUCCAGCUCCAAUAGCGUAUAUUAAAGUUGUUGCAGUUAAAAAGCUCGUAGUUGAAUUUCGGGGUUAGUAGGUUGGUCAUGCCUCUGGUAUGUACUGAUCUCACUGAUUCCUCCCUCUUGACGAACUGUAAUGUCAUUAAUUUGGUGUUGCAGGAAAUCAGGACUGUUACUUUGAAAAAAUUAGAGUGUUUAAAGCAGGCUUAGGCUUGAAUACAUUAGCAUGGAAUAAUGAAAUAGGACGUUUGAACCUAUUUUGUUGGUUUCUAGGAUCGACGUAAUGAUUAAUAGGGAUAGUUGGGGGCAUUAGUAUUCAAUUGUCAGAGGUGAAAUUCUUGGAUUUAUUGAAGACUAACUACUGCGAAAGCAUUUGCCAAGGAUGUUUUCAUUAAUCAAGAACGAAAGUUAGGGGAUCGAAGACGAUCAGAUACCGUCGUAGUCUUAACCAUAAACUAUGCCGACUAGGGAUCGGAUGAUGUUAAUUUUUUAAUGACUCAUUCGGCGCCUUACGGGAAACCAAAGUGUUUGGGUUC